UGGGGAAUUUUGGACAAUGGGGGAAACCCUGGUCCAGCCAUCCCGCGUGUGCGAUGAAGGCCUUCGGGUUGUAAAGCACUUUUGGCAGGAAAGAAACGUCGCGGGUUAAUACCCCGCGAAACUGACGGUACCUGCAGAAUAAGCACCGGCUAACUACGUGCCAGCAGCCGCGGUAAUACGUAGGGUGCAAGCGUUAAUCGGAAUUACUGGGCGUAAAGCGUGCGCAGGCGGUUCGGAAAGAAAGAUGUGAAAUCCCAGAGCUUAACUUUGGAACUGCAUUUUUAACUACCGGGCUAGAGUGUGUCAGAGGGAGGUGGAAUUCCGCGUGUAGCAGUGAAAUGCGUAGAUAUGCGGAGGAACACCGAUGGCGAAGGCAGCCUCCUGGGAUAACACUGACGCUCAUGCACGAAAGCGUGGGGAGCAAACAGGAUUAGAUACCCUGGUAGUCCACGCCCUAAACGAUGUCAACUAGCUGUUGGGGCCUUCGGGCCUUGGUAGCGCAGCUAACGCGUGAAGUUGACCGCCUGGGGAGUACGGUCGCAAGAUUAAAACUUAAAGGAAUU
rnacentral:rRNA from 1 species